GGGUGCUUGUACUGCCUUCCAAAGUGAAGAGGAGAUGAACAUGGCUUUGCAUAGCUGUUGUUCUAUGCCAACUUACCUACUCUUGCUGGUACCGUAGUGGCAUAAAAUUUCGUGGACGAACAACUCGAGUCACGAGUGGCUAGUGAGCAACACUAACAGACCAGAAUGCUUCGCUAUCAACUCCUGGCUUUCCAUCGGCAUGGUGUUCAGCUGCAGCGGCAUCUGGUCCGGGGAGUUCAAGUUGCUGGAUGGCUGCACUGACACAGGAUGGGUUUGCGUUGGCAAUGCGAUACGGCAGUCAUCCCACAUCACGAGCGACAUGUUUAUGUAAUUUAUAUUGUCGCUCGUCCAGCAACGUCAAGGCUCUGCAUGUAAACACAGGAGAACACCAUAAUACUACUCAGGGGAUAAUAAUUUUGGAUAUCAAUUUCGUGACAAUUAUUAGAUUCACACAAUAUUCACAACGUAUGCAACACGAUGCUGUCUAUUGACACUACUUCAAACUGAAGUCCUCACUACUCCUCUCCCGUUUUCAUCUCCCUCUACCUUAUGAAUACUCUGCAUUACUGGUUUUGUUUCUACCCUUUCCAUUGCUGCCAGCUCCCAGUCUUUUUCAAUGCACAGCACCACCUUGACAGUCAUUUUUGUGAUUUGAUGUACACAUACUUUGAAGUUCAAAUUCGAAUUACAUGAUCAGAUUUUUGUUCCACA